AUUGAACGCUGGCGGCAGGCCUAACACAUGCAAGUCGAGCGGAUGAGUGGAGCUUGCUCCAUGAUUCAGCGGCGGACGGGUGAGUAAUGCCUAGGAAUCUGCCUGGUAGUGGGGGACAACGUUUCGAAAGGAACGCUAAUACCGCAUACGUCUUACGGGAGAAAGCAGGGGACCUUCGGGCCUUGCGCUAUCAGAUGCGCCUAGGUCGGAUUAGCUAGUAGGUGAGGUAAUGGCUCACCUAGGCGACGAUCCGUAACUGGUCUGAGAGGAUGAUCAGUCACACUGGAACUGAGACACGGUCCAGACUCCUACGGGAGGCAGCAGUGGGGAAUAUUGGACAAUGGGCGAAAGCCUGAUCCAGCCAUGCCGCGUGUGUGAAGAAGGUCUUCGGAUUGUAAAGCACUUUAAGUUGGGAGGAAGGGCAGUAAGUUAAUACCUUGCUGUUUUGACGUUACCAACAGAAUAAGCACCGGCUAACUUCGUGCCAGCCGCCGCGGUAACAC
rnacentral:rRNA from 1 species